GCGGGUGUAGCUCAGGGGUAGAGCAUUACCUUGCCAAGGUAAGGGUCGGGCGUUCGAAUCGCCUCACCCGCUCCA
rnacentral:tRNA from 1 species